rfam:Gossypium hirsutum cultivar TM-1 unplaced genomic scaffold scaffold288.1, whole genome shotgun sequence
UGUUAAAAAUCUCAUUCAUUUCUAUUGUUAAAAAUUAACGUAGUUAUGGAAUAACCAGACAUUUACACGUGAUGUGCCACGUGGACCUCAUGCGAACGUUUAGGGACCCAUUUUUAAUAGUAGAAAUGGACAAUUUUUUUAAUA